rnacentral:rRNA from 1 species
GGUUAAGUGACUAAGCGUACACGGUGGAUGCCUUGGCAGUCAGAGGCGAUGAAAGACGUAGUAACUUGCGAUAAGCCCAGAUUAGGUAGUAACAACCAUUUGAGUCUGGGAUUUCUGAAUGGGGAAACCCACGUGCAUAAGCACGUAUCCUUACCUGAAUACAUAGGGUAAGGAGGCGAACCGGGGGAACUGAAACAUCUAAGUACCCCGAGGAAAAGAAAUCAACCGAGAUUCCGAAAGUAGCGGCGAGCGAAAUUGGACUAGCCCUUAAGCUUUACACGCGUUAGACGAACGGUCUGGAAAGUCCGACGAUACAGGGUGAUAGUCCCGUAGUUGACGACGUGUGUUCAGUGAAAUCGAGUAGGGCGGGACACGUGAUAUCCUGUCUGAAUAUGGGGGGACCAUCCUCCAAGGCUAAAUACUACUGACUGACCGAUAGUGAACCAGUACCGUGAGGGAAAGGCGAAAAGAACCCCUGUGAGGGGAGUGAAAUAGAACCUGAAACCGUGUACGUACAAGCAGUAGGAGCAGGCUUGUCCUGUGACUGCGUACCUUUUGUAUAAUGGGUCAGCGACUUAUAUUCAGUGGCAAGGUUAACCAUCUAGGGGAGCCGUAGGGAAACCGAGUCUUAACUGGGCGUUCAGUCUCUGGAUAUAGACCCGAAACCAGGUGAUCUAGCCAUGGGCAGGUUGAAGGUUGAGUAACAUCAACUGGAGGACCGAACCGACUAAUGUUGAAAAAUUAGCGGAUGACUUGUGGCUAGGGGUGAAAGGCCAAUCAAACCUGGAGAUAGCUGGUUCUCCCCGAAAGCUAUUUAGGUAGCGCCUCGGACGAAUACUACUGGGGGUAGAGCACUGUUAAGGCUAGGGGGUCAUCCCGACUUACCAACCCUUUGCAAACUCCGAAUACCAGUAAGUACUAUCCGGGAGACACACGGCGGGUGCUAACGUCCGUCGUGGAGAGGGAAACAACCCAGACCGCCAGCUAAGGUCCCAAAUUACUACUAAGUGGGAAACGAUGUGGGAAGGCUCAGACAGCCAGGAUGUUGGCUUAGAAGCAGCCAUCAUUUAAAGAAAGCGUAAUAGCUCACUGGUCGAGUCGGCCUGCGCGGAAGAUGUAACGGGGCUAAGUAGUAAACCGAAGCUGCGGCAAUAUACUUUUGUAUAUUGGGUAGGGGAGCGUUCUGUAAGCGGUUGAAGGUGUGUGGUAACGCAUGCUGGACGUAUCAGAAGUGCGAAUGCUGACAUGAGUAACGAUAAAGGGGGUGAAAAACCUCCUCGCCGGAAGACCAAGGGUUCCUGUCCAACGUUAAUCGGGGCAGGGUAAGUCGACCCCUAAGGCGAGGCCGAAAGGCGUAGUCGAUGGGAAACGGGUUAAUAUUCCCGUACUUCUUACAAUUGCGAUGGGGGGACGGAGAAGGCUAGGUGGGCCUGGCGACGGUUGU